rnacentral:tRNA from 1 species
GCCUGGUUGGCUCAGUUGGUAGAACGUGUGACUCUUAAUCUCACAGUUGUGAGUUUGAACCCCACGUUGGGUG